rnacentral:tRNA from 1 species
UCCCUGGAAGUCCAGUGGUUAGGAUUCUGGGCUUCCAAUACCAAGAGCCUGGGUUCAAUCCCUGGUCUGGGAA